rnacentral:lncRNA from 1 species
ACCAUCUCUAUAUAAACCACUAACAUAAUCUCACAAAAUCACACCUCUCAUAAGCACAAUUCUCCCAUCUCUUGCUAUAUUCUCACUACAUUACAUAAGAAGUGUGAAAUUCACCAUGACACAAAUGAGGGGAUACGAAAUAGUGUUCAAAAACAGCGAGCCAGGUGAAUUACAGGAAGAGACUUACACGACUCUAAGCGUAAGAAAAAUCGAAUCAACAAGGUACGCCGCUGAACCCUGCUUAUUU